AUUGAACGCUGGCGGUAGGCCUAACACAUGCAAGUCGAGCGGCUGCACAGUGCUUGCUUCUUCUUACAGGGGCCGACUGGCGGACGGGUCAUGAAUACCUGCCUGUCUGUUUUGUCUAAGGUGCGAACAUGGGGGAUCUUACCGCAUUCCCCCUGACGGCCUACGUGGGGGAUCUUCGGAUCUUCCGACCUCAGAUGAUUCGAUGUCGGAUUAGCUAGUUGGUGGGGUAAAGGCCUACCAAGGCGACGAUCCGUAGCUGGUCUGAGAGGAUGAUCAGACACACUGGAACUGAGACACGGUCCAGACUCCUACGGGAGGCAGCAGUGGGGAAUAUUGGACAAUGGGCGAAAGCCUGAUCCAGCCAUGCCGCGUGGGUGAAGAAGGCCUUCGGGUUGUAAAGCACUUUUGUUUGGAAAGAAAAGCAGCAGGUUAAUACCUCGCUGUUUUGACGGUACCAAAAGAAUAAGCACCGGCUAACUUCGUG
rnacentral:rRNA from 1 species